AUGGCUUAUUAGCGAGUGGACGGCCCGGCGGCUGCCGACACUAUACCUUGGUACUUAAAUUUGAUGUAAAGUGCUUACCUAUUGGUUAUAACUUAUAAAUAGGUAUUAGGUAUAAGACAGGUCAACGAAGUAUACACGAAUGUAUUGCCACACAGAAGCGAGCGGUCAGCGUAUACGUCUCGAUUCACGACUAUAGGAGUCACUCCAAAGUCCAAACACACGAUUGUGACUUGGAUUCUGCUGCUACUUGCAUUUGACGGUUUUUCAAAACAACGUAGUCAGGACUCUUGGACAGCUGCGCCCUCAGUCUCAUUGCAAAUGUCGGAUCCAUUCCUUCAUCCAUUUCUGUGUUUAUAUAUGCCU